CCUACGGGAGGCAGCAGUAAGGAAUCUUCCACAAUGGACGAAAGUCUGAUGGAGCAACGCCGCGUGCAGGAUGAAGGCUUUCGGGUCGUAAACUGCUUUUAUAUGGGAAGAUUAUGACGGUACCAUAUGAAUAAGGACCGGCUAACUACGUGCCAGCAGCCGCGGUAAUACGUAGGGUCCAAGCGAUAUCCGGAAUUACUGGGCGUAAAGCGUGUGUAGGUGGAUUAAUAAGUGUGAUGCGAAAUCCGGCGGCUCAACCGUUUGGACUGUGUCGCAUACUGUUAGUCUAGAGGACGGCAGAGGUAAGUGGAAUUACGGGUGUAGCAGUGAAAUGCGUAGAUAUCCGUAGGAACACCAAUGGCGAAGGCAGCUUACUGGGCCACACCUGACACUGAGACACGAAAGCGUGGGGAGCGAACAGGAUUAGAUACCCUGGUAGUCCACGCCGUAAACGAUGCAUACUAUUAGUAUGGGGUAUCGACCCCCUGUGCUGAGAAGCUAACGCGAUAAGUAUGCCGCCGNGGAGACGAGCGCAGACUAACUACAANAGAGUAGAGCGNGAGACGNGCGACGACGACGACGAGGGAGAGG
rnacentral:rRNA from 1 species